UAUCAAGCAUUAAAACAGAAAAUUUUAAGUGAAGAAAAGCAAGAGUAAUUAAUAAGUUGAGAAGGUUCUUUCCUAUAAUUGGUUGUGACAUCAAAUCAGCCUACUUGAUGUAUGUAUUGCGUGUUCAUUCAGAGAAUCACUAAUAACAUUGUCACGGUUGCAACUACUCUUAGAAUCACAUUGUCUAUUAUCUUAUGCAGUGUCUUGUUCUCUUGCAUAUUUGAAACUACAAACUCAAGAAAGUGAACUUCUAUUCCAACCAUUUUUAUAUGUCUUCCAAUUCCAAACUCGUGCAUUAACAAACAUAGAACCAACCCCCAUUUAAUUUGCAAUCUAAAAGUGAAUCAUACAUGCAGUACAAUAUUAUGAUUUUGUAUAAUUUCUAAGGUGAUUUUACUCUCUUUCCGCCACUUCAAUAUAUUGUUCUGUUUCUAUAGAAUUUCCCUUCCUUAUUUCUUUUAAUUAGAAAACCUCACAUGAUUUAUUAUAAUACGUGUCACCUAAACCUUCAACAUUAUGGUGUGAUCAAAGAAUGAGUAAUUAUUUAAUAGAGAAUUAAAUCAUGGGGUGAUAGUGAAGAUCAGAUGUAUAAGUUGCUGUCAAUUUAAUUAAGAUGUUGGUCGAAUGCCAUUAAUGUGUAUUUAUUUUUUUAUUCAUUCUAAUGAUUGACUUGGUCAUAUAAGAGUUUGUCUCAUGGUGGUGGUGGUUAACACUGGCCGUGUCAGAUUGCAUGAACGUCGAGACUGGCAUGGCUGGAUGAGCAGCAGCUGCAUAUUUAAUGGAAUGGUCAAGACUGUUGAAGAACGAUUCAAAGCUUCUGUUGAGGACCGAAGAGAACACUUGGAAUCCCUCCUGCGUGAGUGCACGAAAGAGGACGCAGGAUUUUAAGAUGCCCAAGAAAGCUCGUUUCAAGAAAAACGCAAGAGUGUCGCCACCGCGUCAGCAGCCUACAGCUGCACCUCCUGUGUCUCCACCAUCUGAUGACGAUGACUGGCUCAUCCCUCCACCCCCCAGUAAUGGCGGUGUCUCCAGUGGGGCUAUUCUGCAACCCUUUCGUCCACCCAGGAGCGAACCAAGACCUGGAACACAUGCCGCUAGCGGUUCACAAGUGACGGAACCGUGCAAUGAAGACAUUGACCGGGAGGCGCAAGAGGUAGAUUCGUCUGAGGAACAAAUUGAAAGGAUUCUAGAGAAUUCUGAUGCUGAAAAGCGCAAAGGACGAAAGACCACUGAGUUUUGGAAUGUUGAUCUCAUUGAUUCUGAAGGAAUUGUCAAGCCAGCUAAAAUGAGUGUGAGAGAGGCUAUGGAGCGGUCUCUUAAUGGUAGCAAGAUCAUACUGAGGUUCAAUGAAGAACUGCAAGCAGUCGGAGAUGGAGCUGGCCUGUUGAGUGGCAUUCUAGGAGCACUGGGUUCUGAUUACAGCAAAUUUCCUAUCUGUGAAAAGAGUUGGGCAAAGGUCCGGGGCAAAGAUAGAGUUUAUGAUGAUUGCAUAAAGGAGAUGUUCCACUUUCAGGAUAGCAGUGGAAUAAUCAAGAAAACACUUUUACAGCAAAUGGGAAAGUCAUGGAAGGACACAAGGGGGAGGCUGUAUAACUCGCAUUACAAACCAUUAUGGACACUUGAGCAGAAUCUUGAGAAGCGCCCGGAGGGAAUUCCUAGAGAGCACUGGAGGUGGUUCAUUGACUAUCGUAAUGAUCCUGGAACAAAGGCGAAGUGCAAGCAAAACAGGCUGAAUCGAAAGAAGCAACUUUACACGCACACUGGCGGUUCUAAAAGCUUGGCUAGGGCAAGAGAAGAAUAGUCAGAAAAGCAAGGGAGGAAAGUUGGUAGAGGAGAAAUAUUUAUCCUAAAGCACAAAAGAUCUGAUGGAAGUUAUAUACAUGAAGAAGCUCGGAAGAUUGGUGAAAAAAUACAUGAGAUUGAGCAUCUGGAUGAAUCUACAAGAUUAUUGUCACAAAAUGAUUCCCUUACCCAAGCUCUCGGUAAAGAGCACCUGGGUAGAGUGCGUGGGAUAGGACACGGGCCAACACCAAGUCAACUCUUCCGUCCGAAUUCGCAGUCGCCUAUGGAUAGAGCUCAAGUAGAAGAGACCCAAAGGAUGCUGUGUGAACUACAGGCGGAGGUGACAAUGGCAGAAUUGAAGCGAAAAGCAAUGGAGGAUGAAUUAGCAGCUGAGAAAACGAAGAGGCAGGCAAUAGAGAGUGUGCUGAGUUAUCUGGUCCAACAGCAUUGUGGGGAGCUGCCUCCGGACAUCGCUGCACGGAUGAUUUGUUUGGACGGACAUGGCAGAAAAUAGAGAUUAGGCUUUAUGUGAUACUCUGUCUUUCAGUAUAUGUUUGGUUUAUGUUAAGUAUGCAGCAUUAAUUAUUAGCCAAGAACUUUACCUUUUUGGGUGACUAUUAAAAUACUCUAUUGACAUUAUUAAAAUAUAUAUGUUAAUUUGCUUCGCAGUUAAAUAUUCA